CUUGAGGAAUUAAUGACCCUUACUAUAACAAUAGACAGACGUCUUAGGGAACGACAGCAGGAGAGGUCUUAUCACGACACAUACCCAAAGAAACAGACAACACCUCACAUAGUCAAACCUACAUCUGAACCUAUGGACAUAGGUAUGAUAAAAGGUCCUCUGUCGCCUGAGGAAAAGAUCAGGAGAAGAAGAAACAACCUCUGUUUGUAUUGUGCAUCUGAUAACCACACUGUCAAAGAAUGCCCAACUCUCCAGAGGCAAAACAAGGUGGGACCAUCACCGAGUCAACGCUUCCGCGAUAAUUGACUCAGGAGCAACAGCCUCAUAUAUAGAUAAACAAUUCACACAUGUAAAUAAAAUACCUUUGGUGCACAAA